rnacentral:rRNA from 1 species
UGUAGAACUGCCAUUGAUACUGAUAUUCUUGAAUAUAGUUGAGGUGGGCGGAAUGUGUAAUGUAGCGGUGAAAUGCUUAGAUAUUACACAGAACACCAAUUGCGAAGGCAGCUCACUAAACUAAUAUUGACGCUGAGGCACGAAAGCGUGGGUAGCAAACAGGAUUAGAUACCCUGGUAGUCCACGCUGUAAACUAUGAUCACUCGCUGUUGGCAAUACAUCGUCAGCGGCUGAGCGAAAGCAUUAAGUGAUCCACCUGGGGAGUACGGUCGCAAGAUUGAAACUCAAAGGAAUUGACGGGGGCCCGCACAAGCGGAGGAACAUGUGGUUUAAUUCGAUGAUACGCGAGGAACCUUACCUGGGCUUAAAUGCAGAGCGACGUCCGCCGAAAGGUGGAUUCCUUCGGGCGAUCUGCAAGGUGCUGCAUGGUUGUCGUCAGCUCGUGCCGUGAGGUGUCGGGUUAAGUCCCAUAACGAGCGCAACCCUUAUCGUUAGUUGCCAGCGGGUAAUGCCGGGGACUCUAACGAAACUGCCGGUGUAAACCGUGAGGAAGGUGGGGAUGACGUCAAAUCAGCACGGCCCUUAUGUCCAGGGCUACACACGUGUUACAAUGGUCGGUACAGAGGGCAGCUACCACGCAAGUGGAUGCUAAUCUCGAAAACCGGUCUCAGUUCGGAUUGAAGUCUGCAACUCGACUUCAUGAAGCUGGAUUCGCUAGUAAUCGCGCAUCAGCCAUGGCGCGGUGAAUACGUUCCCGGGCCUUGUACACACCGCCCGUCAAGCCAUGGAAGCUUGGGGUACCUGAAGUCCGUAACCGCAAGGAGCGGCCUAGGGUAAGACAAGUGACUGGGGCUAAGUCGUAACGAGG